CCUACGGGGGGCAGCAGUGGGGAAUAUUGCGCAAUGCGCGAAAGCCUGACGCAGCGACGCCGCGUGAGGAAUGAAGGUCUUCGGAUCGUAAACCUCUGUCAGCAGGGAAGAACGGUCACUGUACUAAUCAGCAGUGAAUUGACGGUACCUGCAAAGGAAGCACCGGCUAACUCCGUGCCAGCAGCCGCGGUAAUACGGAGGGUGCGAGCGUUAAUCGGAAUUACUGGGCGUAAAGCGCUCGUAGGCGGUAUGUCAAGUCAAGGGUGAAAUCCCCGCGCUCAACGUGGGAACCGCUUUUGAAACUGGCAAACUGGAGUAUGUGAGAGGAUAGUGGAAUUCCAGGUGUAGCAGUGAAAUGCGUAGAUAUCUGGAGGAACAGCAGUGGCGAAGGCGACUAUCUGGCACAUAACUGACGCUGAGGAGCGAAAGCGUGGGUAGCAAACAGGAUUAGAUACCCCUGUAGUC
rnacentral:rRNA from 1 species